rnacentral:rRNA from 1 species
GCCCUGACUGCUAUCGGAUUGAUACUAAGCCAUGCGAGUCUUUGUAGCAAUACAAGGCAGACGGCUCAGUAACACGUAGUCAAUCUAACCUAUGGACGGGGAUAACCUCGGGAAACUGAGAAUAAUACCCGAUAGAUCAUUAUGCCUGGAAUGGUUUAUGGUCGAAAUGAUUUAUCGCCGUAGGGUGGGACUGCGUUCUAUCAGCUUGUUGGUGAGGUAAUGGCCCACCAAGGCUAUAACAGAUACGGGCUCUGAGAGGAGAAGCCCGGAGAUGGGUACUGAGACACGGACCCAGGCCCUAUGGGGCGCAGCAGGCGAGAAAACUUUGCAAUGUGCGAAAGCACGACAAGGUUAAUCCGAGUGUUUUCUGCUAAAGAAAUCUUUUGUCAGUCCUAAAAACACUGAUGAAUAAGGGGUGGGCAAGUUCUGGUGUCAGCCGCCGCGGUAAAACCAGCACCUCAAGUGGUCAGGGAGGAUUAUUGGGCCCUAAAGCAUCCGUAGCCGGCUCUGUAAGUUUUCGGUUAAAUCUAUAUGCUCAACAUAUAGGCUGCCGGGAAUACUGCAGAGCUAGGGAGUGGGAGAGGUAGACGGUACUCGGUAGGAAGGGGUAAAAUCCUUUGAUCUAUUGAUGACCCCCUGGGGCGAAGGCGGUCUACUAGAACACGUCCGACG